ACCUGAACUAGCCCAAUAGGGCGAAAAGCGGAAAGCCUUACCGCCUGUUCCGCUAGUUCUUUAGGGC
rnacentral:sRNA from 18 species